rnacentral:rRNA from 1 species
UACGUAGGGUGCAAGCGUUGUCCGGAAUUAUUGGGCGUAAAGAGCUCGUAGGCGGUCUGUUGCGUCGGCUGUGAAAACCCGGGGCUCAACUCCGGGCCUGCAGCCGGUACGGGCAGACUAGAGUUCGGCAGGGGAGACUGGAAUUCCUGGUGUAGCGGUGAAAUGCGCAGAUAUCAGGAGGAACACCAGUGGCGAAGGCGGUUGCCUGGGGCUUUGCUGACGCUGAUGCGCGAAAGCGUGGGGAGCGAUCCGG